rnacentral:rRNA from 1 species
UACGUAGGGGGCAAGCGUUGUCCGGAUUUAUUGGGCGUAAAGAGCUCGUAGGCGGUUGGGCAAGUCACGUGUGAAAUCUCCACGCUCAACGUGGAGGCGCCACGUGAGACUGCCCUGACUCGAGUCCGGUAGGGGAGCGUGGAAUUCCCGGUGUAGCGGUGAAAUGCGCAGAGAUCGGGAGGAACACCCGUAGCGAAGGCGGCGCUCUGGGACGGUACUGACGCUGAGACGCGAAAGCGUGGGGAGCGAACAGG